rnacentral:rRNA from 1 species
UACGUAGGGUGCGAGCGUUUAAUCGGAAUUACUGGGCGUAAAGCGUGCGCAGGCGGUGAUGUAAGACCGAUGUGAAAUCCCCGGGCUUAACCUGGGAACUGCAUUGGUGACUGCAUUGCUGGAGUAUGGCAGAGGGGGGGUGGAAUUCCACGUGUAGCAGUGAAAUGCGUAGAGAUGUGGAGGAACACCGAUGGCGAAGGCAGCCCCCCUGGGCCAAUACUGACGCUCAUGCACGAAAGCGUGGGGAGCAAACAGG